UCUUAAUUGGGGGAUAGUAUGAAAGGUAAGACGAAUAAAAUUGAGUUUUAAAUUUAAUAGUUUAAAUUAAUAUGUAAGUCAAAAAGCUUAUUUAAGGUUUAGGGACAAGAAGACCCUACGAAAGUUUAAUUUUAGUCUUUCUUAUAUUAUAGUGAAGAUAAAUUUUAUUGGGGUAAUACUAUAAGACAAGAUUUUAUAGAAUAUAGUUUUAGAAUAAGAAAUUAUGAUCCAUUAUUAAUGGUUAUUAGAUUAAAUUACUUUAGGGAUAACAGCACAAUUAAAAUUUGAAAGUUCAUAUUUACAAUUUUGAUUAUGACCUCGAUGUUG
rnacentral:rRNA from 1 species